GAGCAAUGACGUUUACUUGCACGGUUCGUGAACGAUUGGGUCGUCACAGACAUCUGAUUUAGGAUGAAUUAAUGUGCAUCUGAGCUC